AGUAUAAAAGACGAAUCUGUUUAGAUUUUUGGUCAGAAAUAAAAAUAUUAUUAUCUAACUAGUUGUUCCUCUAGAUCGUGAAGAAAAGUUUCUUAAAAAUGGCUAAAAUUGUCUUUACUGUACUCUUGCUGGCUAUUUUUGCCAUCGUCUCUACACUUGCGUAUCCCGGCGCUUAUCCAGGACCAAAUCCAGUGGCAGCACCCUCUCCACAAUAUUUAGGAUAUUCCUACCCGUAUUAUUCCAGCUAUUCGUACCCGUACGCCUAUGCUUAUUACAGAUAAAUUGAUAAAUAACCUACAAUUCCAGUUAAUAUGAUAUAUGCAUUAUCAUAUUGACUUUUCAUGUAGAUUAUCUUACGACAAACCUUGGCAUGACACUAGGAUAUGUGUAUUAGUUUUAACCAAAAACUAUAUUGUAUAUAAAGCGCUUUGUAUAUUAGUUUUAUAAAAAAAUUGAAAAAUA